GUCAAGAUGGCCGAGUGGUCUAAGGCGCUGCACUCAAGACACGGUCUUACCUAGUUAACUAGGGCGUUUUGCAGUAUCGAAAGAUUCUUGGGUUCGAAUCCCAAUCUUGACA
rfam:Fusarium oxysporum f. sp. cubense race 4 unplaced genomic scaffold scaffold135, whole genome shotgun sequence.